rnacentral:rRNA from 1 species
UUUUAACGGCCGCAGUUGGAAGCUGUGCUAAGGUAGCGUAAUAAAUUGUCCUUUAAAUGAGGAAGUGAAUGAAUGGCUUGACGUAAAAAAUUCUGUCUCCAAGAAAGUAUAUGAAAUUUUCUUCUUAGUGAAAAGACUGAGAUUUAAUUAAAAGACGAGAAGACCCUGUUGAGCUUGUAAUUAUUAAUAUAUAAGUGUGUUAAAAAAGUUUGGUUGGGGUAACCAGGGAGUAUAAAUAACCUCCCUUAAGUAAUAGAAAUCCAAAAUUUUUGAAAAAAGAAAAAGUUACCGUAGGGAUAACAGCGUUAUCUUUUCUAAGAGAGCAAAUUGAAGAAAAG